GUGUGUGACCCUAUAGAUUUUAUUCUGUCUGGUAGUGUGAUAUAUUAUGAUCCCUAUCAUAAUAUCAUUAAAACUCCUUUCAAUGGGUUGGAACCAUUUCAAUUUUGCCUAUCAAGGAUCAUUGAUCAUCGAGAUGAUGCUCGUAGGUUUCACAAUCCACUAGUGACACCUAACAGUAUGUAGUGGUAACCCUGCAGAAUAAAAGGUGAUGAACCUCUAGGUGCAGUUAAUGUAUGAUAUAGUCCCU
rnacentral:lncRNA from 1 species